ACUUCCAAGAUGGCGUCUUCACUCACAUAUCUGGAACCUCGGUGCUCCUUGUCCUUCACGCUCCAUUUGGUGCCUUAUUUUCCAGGCCCUCUUCCCUCAGGUAGCCUGGGCUUUCUCACAGCAUGGUGGCAUCAGGGUUGUAGGAUUUCUUACAAGGCACUGACUUGUAGAAAGUUUUCAGGAGCUCCGAAUGAGGAGAUUCAAGGGCUCUGACGACCAACCGUCGGCUGUCCCAGUACGUCACUUCUUCCACAUUCUAAUGGUCAGAGUAGUCACUAAGGCCAGUCCAGGUUCGCGGAAGGAAAAUUAGAUUCCACGUCUCUAUGGGAGGACUAGCCACACUAAGCCACUGCGCUGGUUUAGAACUGUCUGAAGUCCCUCCUAGAGGUCGUGUGUUUGAUUCUGCAUCUCCGUGAUUUGUGAAUCUUGCAUCAUUUAAAUUCAGCCUUACACACUGAUGCCUUUGGUGCCGUCCCAAUAUUUAGGUAGCAAACUCGUAGUGGGUAGAGAUUCAGGCUUAAGCUUCCAGCCUGGCUCUGAGGAGAACUGUCUGGGGCUCCCUGCCCUCUUCCCCAUGGAUGAGACUCUUCCCAGCCUUGGGCAAACACAGCGGGGAGCUGGCACCAUCUCCCGCUAGACACCUCCUCCUUUUCCUCUUGCCCUUACCAUGACUCCCGAGUUAUUCUCAGAAGUAAAAGCUUUCCACGCCUGCUCUUCUCUCCUGCAGCCAGGAGUGCAAAUUUAGAUAUUGGAGCUGCUCAGGCAGAAAAAUGGCCCUGGAAUCAGGGAAGCAGAAACCUGCAGCUGCCACGAAAGGACCGCGGAGAUGAAGACCCGGAAGCUUGCAUGUGUUGAAGCCCGGGGUGUGGGGGACUGUGGUCACGUACUCGAGGGGGCUUCAGAGACCUCUGGGAAGCCCUUUCUGCCCACUCGAAGCCUGCCCCUGUGCCUGACAAUCUUCCAUCGGGAGCGAUGUCAUAAAGAAGAAAUGGAAUUCAGUGGGAAGAGUGGUGGACUCGGGGACAAAAGAUCUGGGUUUGCGCCCUGGCUCUGACCUAACUCACCAGCAUUAUUGGAGGCACGUUAGUUGCCUUGAAAACUGCUUGAUAUGAAUGACUGCAAGAUCUGCUGUUAGUCCCCAGAGCUGCCUUUUACUUCUUUGGAGAAGCUGGGACUGAGGUUGCGUAUUUGGGCAGGGCUCAGCUGUGUGGUUCUUCUACCCUAUGUCACCUGGAGUUAAUGCAUGCUUACAUUUAGCUGGUGAUUCAGAUGGAACACUACGAUGGCCUCUCACCCCCCAGGGUCUCUCUGUAUGUGGCCUCUCAUCAUUGAGCGGUUCAGCUUGGACUUCCUUACAGCAUGGCAUCUGGGCUGCAAGAAGGGAAAGAUGCAGCUGCAAACCUUAAGGGCUGAAGUCUCAAGACAUCACCUCCACUACAAUCUAUUGGCUAAAGCAAAUCCCAGGGCCAGUCCAGACUCAGGAGUAGGAGAAAAUAUUAAUAACGCCUCUUGCUAUGAAGAGUGGCAAGUGUAUACAGGGAGGAGAGGAAGUGCCGGUGGCCAUUUUUGGAAACCAUUAACAUAUAAUUGCAGAUAGUGAUACACUCAGCAAUGAAUAUUAAGCCUAGUAAAGGGAAAGUCUAGAAGGGCUUUCAGGAGGAUUUAUCUUCUGGGCCGGAUCCUGCCUAGGAAAGGCUCAUGCAUCCUUCCUACAAAAGAGGCACUGACACUUCUGAUUAAGGUAGGAUAAGCUGUCACUUGUUGGUAAAGUUUCUACCAGUCUCUAACCCAUUGAAGGAGAAUAUUUUGCUUUCUUCUCUCAGAUCUUGUGGAUGUGCUGUGGAAAUGGAGAACCUUAACCAUUGCAUAGAAUGGACUUGGGGCAAGUUCCUGAGCUAUAAGUUACAUAGCUCAGAAGUAGCAGAGCCAGGAUCCAACACCUGUUUUGCCAUACAUCAAAUGGGGACAAUAGAAGUAACUGAUAUUAACCUAGGGCUGAAAUAAGGCAUGUCUGCUGCUUGGUGGUUGCAGUCACAGUCACAGGAAGUUUUAAAGGCACUGUAGCCAAGAGUUUGGCUUCCUCCUCACAGGUCUCUUGGGGUGGCCCUGUCCUCCCUCUUGUUUCCUUGGCACAGCAGGGUCUAGACCCUCUACUCAGCCAUACACAGGAGCCAGGCUGCUGGAAAACAUACCCCCAGCCCCAACUGCUUUGUCCAGUCUUGGGGGAGGUGGGAAAUGUACACACCUAGAAGUGAUGAUGGUAUUUCUCCUGCAGGUUCCCAUGAAAAGCAGCAUCCCAGUGAAGUCAAAGCCCUGGAACCAUCCUCUUCAUCUGUGUUGCUGCUGAGAGAUCAGAAGUCUACCUCUGGAGAUAGAAUCCUUGUCUGCUGCUGGGAUGGAGGGAAGUGCUAACAUUCCACUAGAAAGUGGGUUCUUCCAUGGAGGGACAGAAUUUGAUUCUUGCUGCUUAUACAAAGUAGGUGUUCACAAGGCACUUGUGAACAGCUAGCUCUGCAGAACAAGUCUCCAUCAUCUCGUUGCAGGCUGCUUACCUGCUGGGAGUGGCAUCCUGGGGCCUUCCUCUCUGGCCACCCUAGACUUUGGUUUUAAUUGCUCCUGAGUCUCCCUUCUUCCUGCCGGCUGGCCCUGCGGUCUGUCACCUACGGGACGGCCAACGUCAGAGCUGGGUGACCUUUCAAAGACACCAGGAUUUGUUUAAUUUUCAGAAUUCACCUCUCUUCAUCCUUUUUAUCAGAGGCAGUUAGGGCCCAGCUGGGGAGGCUAUUUGGCAUUUUUCCCUGUAUUUUGAAACAGGUGGGCUGGGGCCUUCUCAAGUGGAGUCUUUUCAACUGAGAGAACUAGAAAGACAGACAAUGAUAGAAUGGGGUGGGGGUGGAGUAGAAUUACCAAGAGAACCAAACAUACAUUAAGUUAUUUUAACACCUGACUCAUUUUCAUGAAAGUCUUCAUUACUGCAUCUUCUGUCUCCAAGGUUUUCUACACACAUAAUUGCAGCUUGUGUUUACAAAGUCAUUACCACAUGCCAAGCACGUCACAUGUCUCGCUUCAUGUAACCUUCACAGCAGCACCUUGAGGUUCUGUUAUCUCCGUUUUACAGGUAGGUAAGGUUAGUUAUUGCCCAAAGCCAUACAGUGUGUUGAGGGGCCAGAGUUUAAACACAGCUCUGUAGACUCAGUCUGUCCACGAAGCAAGAGUAUGUGCAAACCUCACCUGAUCCUCACAAUAACCUUGGAAAAGAAAUGUAUCCUCCCAUCUGAUAGAGUCCGAGUAGUCUCAGCUGCUAUAAUUGUUAUUCCUUCUGUGCUCAACAUUUGUUGGCUGGGUGACUUGAAAGCUGAAGUGAGAAAAACAGUACCUGGAACAUGGAGUAAAAACCCUUUAACAUAUGGGAAUCUACUAAACCCCAUCAGGUCAGUGAAAUAGGUACUAUUAUCACCAUUUUACAGGAGAAAAAA
rnacentral:lncRNA from 1 species